AGCUCAGAACUUUCGGACUGCAAAUCCGUUUUUGGGGUUUCCCCCUGGGCUU
rnacentral:tRNA from 1 species